rnacentral:rRNA from 1 species
CCUACGGGUGGCAGCAGUGGGGAAUAUUGCACAAUGGGGGAAACCCUGAUGCAGCGACGCCGCGUGAGUGAAGACGUACUUCGGUAUGUAAAGCUCUAUCAGCAGGGAAGAAAAUGACGGUACCUGAGUAAGAAGCCCCGGCUAACUACGUGCCAGCAGCCGCGGUAAUACGUAGGGGGCAAGCGUUAUCCGGAUUUACUGGGUGUAAAGGGAGCGUAGACGGGAGGGCAAGUCUGGAGUGAAAGGCGGGGGCUCAACCCCCGGACUGCUCUGGAAACUGUACGGCUGGAGUGCAGGAGAGGUAAGUGGAAUUCCUAGUGUAGCGGUGAAAUGCGUAGAUAUUAGGAGGAACACCAGUGGCGAAGGCGGCUUACUGGACUGUAACUGACGUUGAGGCUCGAAAGCGUGGGGAGCAAACAGGAUUAGAUACCCCAGUAGUC